rfam:Haliscomenobacter hydrossis DSM 1100 plasmid pHALHY01, complete sequence.
CCAGUCGUUCCACCGACUGUACCUUAGGAAGAAAUGCGAGGAGGUAACGAAUCGUAUAAAGCCUUCUGACAAUGUACCGAAAUCCACCGAAGCCGUGAGGUAGAAGUGGUUCUGUUAGCAUCCAACGGAAUAGGGC